AGGUCAGCCACCUGCAGCCAAGGAGAGAGGCCUCUGAGGAAACCAACCCUGCCAGCACUUUGAUCUUGAACUUCCAGCCUCCAGAACUGUGAGAAAGUAUAUUCCUGUUGUUUAAGCCACCCAGUCUAUGGCAUUUUGUUUUGGCAGCUUUAGCAGACUAAUAUACUUCCCCAUUCCCCCACAGUGCUUCCUGGGGUCAAUUCUCAGAUAAAUGAUUUGCACUUUAAUCCUUAUCUCAGGGGCCAGGUGGGAGGGGGCUCACGCCUGUAAUCCCAGCACUUUGGGAAGCCGAGGUGGGCAGAUCACCUGAGGUCAGGAGUUCAAGAGCAGCCUGACCAACAUAGUGAAACAUCGUCUCCACUAACUUUACAAAAUGUAGCUGGGUGGGGCGGCACAUUGCUGUAGUCCCAGCUACUCAGGAGGCUGAGGCAGGAGAAUCCCUUGAACCCGGGAGGUGGAGGUUGCAGUGAACUGAGAUCGUGCCACUGCACUACAGCCUGGGUGACAGAGUGACUUCGUCUAAAAAAAAAAAAAUUAUCUCAGGAAACCAACUCGCAGACCAACAACGCAUAUAUGGUGGGACAUAGACCCCAAGUAAGAGUGAAGCGAAGACUCAACUUUAACCACCACCCUCUAAGUUUCUUUUGAGGAGCUUGGAGAACGUCACUCCCUGUGGGUCUAAGUGGUACAGGCGCUAAAAAAUUAUUUAGGCAGAUAGUGAGGGUAAGGAAGUCCUCGGCUGUUUCCCUUUUAACAAAAAGCAGUCCCUAAAUCAUUUAUUUUCUAACAAAGAGCAGCCUGUAAAAUCGAGCUGCAGACAUAGAUAAGCAAGCUGGAAGCUUGCAUGGGUGAAUGCAGCAGCUGUGCCAAUAGGAAAAGGCUACGUGGCGGCCAGGCAUGUUCAACAUGGCGGCUCCAUCUUCCCUUUUCUUUGUCAACUAGGUGUACAGUAAGGAACCGACAACAUCACACCGGCCAGGUAGAGAAGCCAUUUGCAUAAUAGAAGAUUAGGGUGGGGUGGCCAGCUUCUUUGCGCGCUUUGUAAACAUCACACCUAGUCCACCAAUCUUUGGGCCCUAUGUAAAUUAGACAACACCUCCUCAAGCCAGUCUAUAAACCCUCCCCUCCCCGCACAUGCAUUUCACCGCAAAACCCAAAGACCCACUUAGGUGUCCCCUCUCUCCGCAGAAGAGAGAGCUUUUCCCUUUCUCUCUGUUAAACCUCUUCUCUUAAACUCACUUCUUGCGUGUCCUCGUCCUCGAUUUCCUUGGCGUAAGACGACGAACCUCAGGCAUUUACCCCAGACAACGAAGGUGCUUCAUAAGGUCAUGCAGCUGGGUCAACAUAGGACUGUGUAGCCAAGAGCUACAGGAUGGAUUGCUGAGGCCAGGGAGAUUGAAAGGAAGUCACAGCCCAAUCUCAGAGGGAUCCACGGAGCCAGCGAAAGCUAAGGCGGGACUUACCCAACAGAGGGUCCUGGCCCAGUCACCCAGUGGCACAACCCAACUGGGAGAUCUGAGCAUCUACCAACUGUGGCCACCAAGGCCAGCAGAAGUCUCAGUGAUCGGGCAGGACAAAGGACAUUUCUGCAGAGAAUACUGAAGGUCCAGGAGACAGCACAGUGGGACAUAUGUGGGCCCCUGCCCCAUCAUUAGGAGGAAGUGUAGGCUUUUCUGAGGACCUGGAUGCCAUACCAUCUUGAGACAGAGAAUGAGGAACCAACCCUUGACAAGAGAGAGAUGGCCCUGGUAGAGAAUUUGAACCUUGAAUUGGAUUGAAUAUUUAUCCAAAAGAAAUUGAACCAGCACUAGAGAGACUGUUUUGAACUAGAAGUAACCAAGUUACCUUAACUGGAAGUUAGGAUUUUUCCACCCCUGACAUCAGUGGGACAAGGGCACAUGAGCAAGAUAUUUACGGACAAAGAAGAACGUUCAUGUUUUGUACACCUGCUUUGUAGUAUGUUGCAGAUACCGUUGGUUCCCCUGAUUUCAGGUGUUCUCGUUCUUUCUGUACAGUCACUUGCUCAGGGCAAAUGGUCCUCUCCUGCAUGACUCAGAAGCACAUACUGAUUAUUCUAAACUGGUCUUCAUGCCCCGUUCCCUUGUCAGUGAUGUAGUUAGGCAAAGGAUUAUGUAACAAUUCUGGCUAUGAGACAUUGAAACUUCUACUGUGGGGCAUCUGGGAAGAUUUUUCUCAUUGAAAAGAAGAGACGCAGGGUGUGGAGACUCAUGCCUGUAAUCCGAGCCCUUGGGAGGCCCAGGAGGGAGGGUCACCUGAGUCCAAGAGCUCAAGGCCAGUUCGAGCAACAUACCAAGGCUGCAAUAAACAAGCAAACAAACAAACAAACAUUAGCUGGGCACGGUAGUGCACACCUGUAGUCCCAGCUACUCAGGAGGCUGAAAUGGGAGGAUUGCUUGAGCCCAGGAGUUUGAGGCUGCAGUGAGCUAUGAUUGCACCACUGCACUUCAGCCUGGGCAACAGAGCGAGAUCCUGUCUCUAUAAAAAAAUUUUAAAAAAAGGAAGAAAAGAAAAGAAGAGACACACGUGGAAGAAACAGUCUCUAUUCUGAUGCAAGUAAUGACUGGAACUGUGGCAGACAGCUUGGAACCAUGAGAGGAGUUAACUGAGGGCUAUCAGGGAAACUAGAAGAAGCCUGGGUCCUUGAGGAGGCAGACUACUAAAUGGACCAUCGUCCCUUCACCCUUUUUGUUAUGUGAGAUAAUAAACUCUCUAAUUUAAAUCUACUUGAGAUGAAUAUCUGAUACUUGUAGCCAAAAUCAUCCUUAAUGGGACAGAGUGUGGGUAAAUUAUCAACCUUGCUAGCCUUGCCUCAUAAUUUUUGAAUUUAUUUUUAUCUUUUAAUUUUGUUUAUUUUUUAUUUUUAAAGUAGAGACAGGAUCUCAUUAUGUUGCUCAGGCUGGUCUCGAAUCCCUGGCCUCAAGGGAUCCUCCUGCCUCAGCCUCCUAAAGUGCUGAGAUUACAGGUAUGAGCCCCUAUGCCAGGCCAUUGCUUUGCCAUUGUAUCCAUGUGAUUGCAAAAAAGAAAAUCGUGCUAAUAGUCAUUAGCUUUGAAAGACACUUGGAAUUUCUUCCUUCAAGCGAGCUUUAUUCCCAAACUGUUGAACCCUCUGGGUUUGACAGCAGGAUCUACUUCACAUGGUAGCAUCUCCUUCUAUUUGCCUUCAAGACAUUUCCUAAGGGAAGAGAUGAAGACACACUUGUAACGUGAACAAAAUAAUCCUUUUUCCUUUUAAAAAUGUAUGAUUAAAAUGUAAAAUAUAUAUAUAUAUUCUUAAAUGUAAAAUAUAUAUAUAUAUCUUCUAGAGUUGCCUGGAAAGUGAGCUGAGAGCAGUUAAACAUCAAACCCACUGCUGCUUUCCAGCUUUAACCAGAAUCACCAUUGUCUUUCCCUAUGAAAGAAAGGAAAUCUUAGAACUUAAAAGGAUUUCAAGAAGAACUGAAUUUUAACCACUGAGAUGACCAGAGAUGUAAGGCUCACACUGACUGAAGCAGUAUAAUUUGGCUGUCUUUUUAACAUUCAGAAUUCUCUCUGACUCUCCAAAAUUGCAUCUACUUUGAUGAGCUUAUUUUUUUCCUCAACCAAAUUACAUUUCUUGGAGUUCACCUGAUACAUCAUGCCUACUUACUUUUUUUUUUAGAUGGAGUCUUGCUCUGUCACCCAGGCUGGAGUGCAGUGGUGCAAUCUCGGCUCAUUGCAACCUCUGCCUCCCAGGUUCAAGUGAUUCUCCUGCCUCAGCCCCCCAAGUAGCUGGGAUUACAGGUGCGUGCCACCACGCCCAGCUAAUUUUUGUAUUUUUAGUAGAGACAGGGUUUCGCCAUGUUGGUCAGGCUGGUCUCGAACUCCUGACCUCAAGUGACCCACCUGCCUUGGCCUCCCAAAGCGCUGGGAUUACAGGGGUAAGCCACCAUGUCCAGCCCUGCCUACUUACUUUGAACAAAUUAUUUCAGGCUAAUUUACUAGCUGGAGAGAAAGAGGGAGGGAAGCAGGGAGGAAGCAAAGAUAGAGGGAGAGAAAGAGAGGGAGACAGAGAGGAAGAGGGAGAGGGAGAGGAGAGAGAGAGAAAGAAUGAAUUGUGUUCUCCCAAAAUUAGUAUGUUGAAGUCUUAAUAUCCCAGUACCUCAGACUAUGACUGUAUCUGUAGAUAGGGCUUUUGAAAAGGUGAUUAUGUUUAAAUGAGGCCAUUGGGGUGGGCCCUAAUCCAGUCCAACUGUUGUCAUUGUAAGAAGAAGAGAUUAGGACACAGAGAUACCAGGCAUGUGCGUGCCCAGACAGACAACUAUGUGAAGAGACAACAAUAGGUCAGCCAUCUGCAAGCUGAGGAGAGAGGCCUCAGAGGAAACCAACCCUGCCGGCACCUUGAUCUUGGAGUUCCAGCCUCCAGAACUUGCUGCUUGAGCAUCCACACAACAUGGCGCUAGCUUCCCCCAGAGUGAGUAAUCCAGAAUGAAGAAGACAGAAACCACAAUAUCCUUUAUGAACUGGCCUUAUAAGUAAUAUUUUGUCAUUUCCAUAAAGUCCUAUUGGUUACACAAGACUGCCGUAUUCAAUAUAAGAGUGACAACACAUGGGGAUAAAUACUUGGAGGUGUAAAUCAUUGGGAACCAUCCUGGAAGUUGCCUACAAUACUAGGAUCUAUGGCUACAAUUCCCUGGGUCUUGGCUUCAAGACAGAGAAAAGGGAAAGAACAUGAAACAGCCCCAUGUGGUUUUUGUUUUUUUUUUAAUGGACAAGAGUAAGAAAUGGUGAACAUUUCUUCUACUCAUAUUCUACAGUUAGAAUUUGGUCACAUAAUGUAUCUAACUAUGAAGGUAGCUAGGUAAUAUCAUCUCUUGUUGGGAGGGUAGCUGGGAAUACCUCUAUACAAUGGAAGGAAGAGCAUGAACUUUUGGUGGAGAGAUAAUGCUCUCUGCCAUGAUAAAAUGAAAAAAAUAACAUAUGCAGAAUGGUCAACAUAACAGCAUGAAGCAAAUGCACAAUGAAUGAUAAUCAUAAUAUAGUGCUCUUUUGAUAAUCUAGUGCAUACCCAGAACCUGGGAGGUAUUUGGUUUUAAUACAUGUUUGUUGUAUGAAUACGUGAGUUAAGGUAAUGGAUGCAAAAAUGGUAUAAAUAGGAGGAAUUAUAAUUGAUAUUUCUUGAGUUAGCAUGUUUCAUUGGCUAUCUUUAUGGAGGUCCAGACCCUCCUCCGAAGGUGGAUAUUACUGUUCCGAUUUCAAUUGGUCAAAUAGAGACCAAGAGACUUUAGGCAACUUGUUUUAGAUUUGGCACUGAAUGGCGGGAAAGUGCAGAUUUUCUGAGUACUAUGUCUGGGCUCUUUGCUAUAAGCACUAUUGAUUUGAAUGGAUAAGAACAGAAAAGUCCUUUGCUCAGAGGAGAAUCAGGGCCACUGUAUCAGUCAGGGUCCAAUCAAGAGGCAGAAACUAUACCAGUUAUUUAAUUUCAUUUAUUUAUUUAUUAUUAUUUUUUAGAGAUGUGGUCUUGCUGUGUUGCUCAGGCUGUUCUCGAACUCCUGGGCUCAAGCAAUCCACCUGCCUUGACCUCCCAAACUGCUGGGAUUACAGGUGUGAGCCACUGUGCCUGGCCCCGUACCAGUUAUUUUAACAGAGAGAAUUUAGUAUGGCCCAGGCGCAGUGGUUCAAGCCUGUAAUCCCAGCACUUUGUGAGGCUGAGCAGGGAGGAUCACUUGGACCCAGGAGUUUGAGACCAGCCUGGGCAACAUAUUGAGAGUCCACUUAAGAAAAAGAAUUUAAUAUAAAGAACUUUUUUCUUUUCUUUUUUUUUUUUUUGAGAUAGAUGGAGUCUCACUCUGUUGCCCAGGCUGGAGUGCUGUGGCGUGAUCCCAGCUCACCGCAACAUACGCCUCCUGGAAUCAAGCACCUCUCCCGCCUCAGCCUCCGGAGCAGCUGGGAUUACAGGCACUCGCUAACACGCCUGGCUAAUUUUUGUAUUUUAGUAGAGGCAGGGUUUCACCAUGUUGACCAGGCUGGUCUCAAACUGCUGACCUCAAGUGAUCCCCUGUCCUCGGGCUCCCAAAGUGCUGGGAUUACAGGCAUGAGCCACCACGCCUGGCCGAGAAUUGUUAACUAGGAAUCAAGUUGAUAACCAGGCAACUAAAAAGGAAAAAAAAACAACAAAACAAAACCAACCCAACAACAAUAUUAAUGUAUCACAGAAGAAGCAACUGAAGGAAACAGCUAUACUCAGAGGUCUGGGGGAACAAUGAGAAAAGGUUGGCAUUAACACUUAGAAUCAGCCAAGUGCAGUGGCUCAUAUCUGUAAUCCCAGAGACUCAGGAGACCAAGGUGGGAGGAUUGCUUGAAGCCAGGAGUUUGAGACUAGACUGGGCAACAUAGUGAGACCCUGUCUCUACAAAACAUAAUAAAAUUGGCCAGGCAGAGUGGCAUUCACCUGUGGUCCCAGCUACUCGGGAGGUUGAGGUAGGAGGAUCACUAGAGCCCAGUUACAGUGAGUAUGACUCACUGUAACUACACUCCACUACACUCCAGCCUGGGAGACAGAGUGAGACCCUGUCUCAAACAAACAAACAAACAAACCAAAAAAUCACUAGAAUAAUAGGAGAAAAGUGCCCUGCAAACUGAAACUCAGAUCUCUAAGGAGGGACGGGGGUUGGAGUCUUUGAGGGGUGCAAUUAGACUGGUUCUGCCAGUGUUAGGAAAACUGCAAACUGGAUUGAGAUGCUGCUAUGGGAAGGAACUGCCAUUGCAGGAGAAAGGAAGCCUUGCUAGGAGAGUGUUCACAGGAACAGAAAGAGCAAGUUCCUUUUUCCUCCAGCCUUGCAGUUCCCCUCUAACACCCCCAUGGGUAGAACCUCACAGGAAGCAGCUGGAACAGCAGAAAUAUGCUUUUCCCAAUUCCAACUCUUGUAUCACAAAGCAGAAUACAGAAGGUUGGGUUUGGAGUUGAGAGAUAACAACUAAAUAAUAGCUGGCACAAGGCCCACCUGAUCAGAAAUUAAUCUCACCUCCUUGGGGAUAAGGGCUUUGGGUGGGAGGAAAGGAGGCUCUUGAACUCAUGGGCAUUGAGCACGUGACUAGUUGUCUUAGAGAAAAUGUGCCACCCUGCAGGGCCGCCUGAAAGCUUGUACAAGUGCCUGAGGAAAGCCGGAUUUGGCAGGCUGCAACCACGGUGGAUGACAGCUGAAGGAGAAUUACAGCAGCAGCAGUUAAGUAGAAGAUGUUCACACUUCCUCGCUCUGCAUCUUUCUUCCUGGAGCCCAACACCUCGGAGGAGAAUGGGAAACCCAGAAGAAGGAGUGGGAAGUAGGGUUGCCACAUAAAAUAUAGGACUCUCAGUUACAUUUGAAUUUCAGAUAAGCAGCAGAUUAUUUCUUAGUAUAAGUAUGUGCCAGUAUGUGUGUAUGUGCACACAUAUGUGCACAUGUAUGCAUGCAUCAGCUAGAUUCUGCAACCAUCAGAGAAAUAGACAAAGGUCCUUUUGACCAGUGGUCAAACUGAGCUAUGAGGAGAAGAUCUUGAAAUUGCAUGUGAUAUUGAAGCUUUAAACUUACUGAGUUGCUUGUGUUAGGCUUUUAAAUACCGUAAUGGGACUAAAAACUAUGUUUCUAAGAGAGAGGAAUAUUUGGGAGUACAGCUGACCCUUGAACAAUGCAAGGCUUAGAGGCAUUGUCAAAAAUCCACAUGUAACUUUUGACUCCACAAACAUUUAACUAUUUUUCUUGUCUUUUUUCUUUUUUUUUUUUUGAGAUGGAGUCUCACUCUGUCUCCCAGGCUGGAGUGCAGUGGGGUGAUCUCAGCUCACUGCAACCUUCACCUCCCAGGUUCAAGCAAUUCUCAAGCCUCAGCCUCCUGAGUAGCUGGGAUUACAGGUGUGCACAAAGAUGCCUGGCUAAUUUUUGUAUUUUCAGUAGAGAUGGGGUUUCACCAUGCUGGCCAGGCUGGUCUUGGACUCCUGACCUCACGUGAUCUGCCCACCUUGGCCUCCCAAAGUGCUGGGAUUACAGGCAUGAGCCACGGCAUCUGCCCAAAAACUGAACUAUUAGUAGCCUACUGUUGACUGGAAGUCUUACUGAUAACAUAGUCAAUUAACACAUGUUUUGUGUUAUAUGUAUUAUAUACUAUAUUCUUACAAUAAAGCAAGCUAGAGAAAAUAGAAUAUUAAGAAAAUCAUAAGGAAAAUAUAUUUAGGAUUCUUUUUUUUUUGAGAUGGAGUCUUGCUGUGUCACCCAGGCUGGAAUGCAGUGGUCAGCCUUCCAACGUGCUGAGAUUACAGGCGUGAGCCACUAUGCCCGGCCAUAUUUACUAUUCAUUAAGUGGAAGCGGAUCAUCAUAGAUGACUUCAUCCUCAUCCUCUUCACACUGAAUAGGGUGAAGAGGAGGAGGAAGAGGAGGGGUUGGUCUCACUGUCUCAAGGGUGGCAGAGGCAGAAGAAAAUCCAGGUAGAAGUGGACCCAAGCAGUUCAAAUCCAUGCUGUUCAGGGGUCAACUGGGUCAACUGUGUAGUUAAAGGUAGUGAGUAGUUGGAGAAAAAUGAAACUGCUUUCGUGUUUAUACCUUCACUGAGUUCAGACCUCGUAAUAAACUGGGUAUCUGUAUGUGUGACAAACAAUAGAGGAGAUGUGUGUGCAGGGUGUUCAAGGGGCUUUUGCAUCUUUGCUGGUGAUCACAAAUAGGGCUUUAAUUCUUGGACUUGAAGAGCUGCAGGAGCCAUUGAAAGGAUACAUGGAGCUAGUUGAAUACCACAUUAUCAUUUAGCAAGUGAUAUUUAGCUCUAUUCCUGUGGAUGAACCCUGAUUAGGAUCUUAAGUUUGUAUGUUGUUGGAGAUUAUUCUUGUUUGUCUUGGAAAUGAACAUUCAUUCAUUCGUUCUGGUGCCUAGCAUAGACAAUAAAUCACAAUUCAAAUAAUGAAAAAUUAUAUAUUUAUUUAUUAAGCAUCUACUGCAUGUAGGUUCUGUGUUAGAUGCACAAAAAUGAAUACCAUAAAAUCCUUUACUAAAACGCCAUUCCUGUCUUUGAGUGGAAAAUGUAGCAGCUACGGGAAUUAAGUUAUAUGGUAGCAUGUGUGGUUACCUACUUGACGGAGACAGAAUCCACAUUAUCAGGUGUGGUCAGAUGAGGGAUUCUCUGCCUGGAGAAGUUGUCAUGGACAAGGUAGGAUUUAAUUUAGGUUGUAAAAGAAUACCAGGAUUUAGGGACUCCUAAAGACAGAGACUGUAUAUCCCUCAUCAGAUCAGCCACUCUUUUCUUUUUUUUUUUUUUUUUUUUUGAGACAGUUUCGCUCUUGUUGCCCAGGCUUGAUUGCAAUGGUGCGAUCUCGGCUCACUGCAACCUCCACCUCCUGGGUUCAAGCGAUUCUCCUGCCUCAGCCUCCCGAGUAACUGGACUACAGGCGCCUGCCACCACACCCAGCUAAUUUUUUGUAUGUUUAGUAGAGGUGGGGUUUCACUAUGUUGGCCAGGCUGGUCUCGAACUCCUGACCUCAGACAAUCCCCCCGCCUCGGCCUCCCAAAGUGCUGGGAUUACAGGCGUGAGCCACUGUGCCCAGCCAACCAGAUCAGCCAUUCUAAGGCCAAGAGUUGCAUUACUCUUUUCUCUGUUUCUUGGAAACAUGACUGGAGGACUUGCUGUAAAAAAUAUUAAGACUUAUUAUGAUAAAGCUAUGGUAAUAACAAGGUGUAGUGUUAGAAUGAACCUGGGCAACAUGGCAAAAUCUUGUCUGUGAAAAAUAUCAAAAAUUAGGUCAGGUGCGGUGGCUCACGCCUGUAAUCCCAGCACUUUGGGAGUCUGAGG
rnacentral:lncRNA from 1 species